UACGAAGGGAGCUAGCGUUGUUCGGAAUCACUGGGCGUAAAGCGCACGUAGGCGGAUGUGUCAGUCAGGGGUGAAAUCCUGGAGCUCAACUCCAGAACUGCCUUUGAUACUGAAGAUCUUGAGUUCGGGAGAGGUGAGUGGAACUGCGAGUGUAGAGGUGAAAUUCGUAGAUAUUCGGAAGAACACCAGUGGCGAAGGCGGCUCACUGGCCCGGUACUGACGCUGAGGUGGCGAAAGCGUGGGGAGCAAACAGG
rnacentral:rRNA from 1 species